CCGAAAGACCCUCAAUCUUGAACUUCGGGUGAUAUCAUUCACCCCUACAAAGUAGAAACUACAAUCCAAUCUAUUAACCCCCAAUUCAAUUUUCCUAUCACUACUUGCCAUCCGUCUUUAUUAAAAAUUGUCCAUAUUUUUGUCUUUAUAUUUUCCCCUUGCCCCUCGCACUUCACUCCACUCCACUCAUCCACCCUUCCUCACUUGAUAUCACUUCCCACUUCAUAUUAUUGAGAUUUAGAGAUCAAAUCUCAUGAAACUCAUUUGAGUAUUUCUCCUUAUUCCAAUGAAUUACCUUCAUCUUACCUAAAAAGAUCCUAUAUUUAUUAAGGAGUCUUGCAGUAUUUGAGUUUUAUUUCUUUGAAGGCAGCUUAAUUGAGCAGCUUUCCUUUCAGAUAUAAAACUCAAAUUCUACUGAGCCUUGAUAAUUCAAUCGGAAAUCUCAACAUUUACUCAAAAUUUACAGUUGACUGCUGUGUGCUGUGUGCUGUGUGCUGUGUGCUGCGUGCUGCCUUUGCUGCUGUGUGCUGCUGACUGUUGCAUGUUUGCUGCCGUUGCGGCUGGCCUCUUCGUGCUACUGGACCAGGAGAUGCGUAACGAGGAGCUUUUACCAGAUUUGUCUGAAGAGUAAUAACAAGGUACGUAACUCUCAAUUCCUCAAUUCCUCGCAAUCUGAAGAUCGGGAAUAUGUUGAAGGAGGUGACCAUCUCGGCCAUUGAAUUCGACGCUAUAUCUUUCCUCCAAAUGUGGACACCCAUCAAUAACAAGUGUCUGUAAAGAGGUGAGCGACACUCAUCUGGGAGCUUGUUAAUCGAAGAAUUUUUCAAGCUCAAGACUCGUAAGGACUGGAAUCUUUAUAUCAAUCUGUCGCAUUCAACACUUCUUGUAGCAGAUAAUAAUGAGCGCAACAUUCUAGCCUUAAAUACCAAUAGUGGAGCUGAAGCUUCAAAUCUACCAAGAUUUACAUGUAGAAUUCCAUCAGUGAUCUGGGAAGAAGACGACUCAACCAACACCAUGCUCUCGUGACCAGCUACAUGUUAUGCCAAGUCAUGCACUAAGUCGUGCAUUUUGCAGCUUGGUAGAGAGAAUAAGUUAGUGUUGUUAGCAUACAUAAAUAAUAAAAACACAAAGUUAUUAAUGAAAAUAUCCAAAAAAGAAAAGAAAAGGAUGCUUACUAAAUCCUACAGACAUAAUUAUGAACUAUAUCAGCUCAAAAAUUAACCCUUACAACUUGUAGAACCUAAAGAAUUAAUUAAUGAAUUAGGUGAGUCCAAAAUUUUAAGCCUUACAACUUGUAAAUGCUAAAGAAUUAAAACGAACUAUAUCAGUCCAAAAAAUAAUUCCUUAAAACUUGGAGCCAAUGUCACCUUUGAAAGGUAAAACCAUACCACUUAAUAGAAAGCAAUGGAAGAAUAGAUAAAAUCAUAAAAUAGCAUCCAUCGAACUUGGCUUCGCUCCAAGCAACCUAAUGGUUACUUGGACCUCCUUGUAAUAUUUGAAUGUAAUAUCCAACCAUUGGAGCAAGAUAAUCGGUACUUGUUUGAGAGUAAGAUUGCUACACCAAGCUAGUUGCUGACUUCAAAAAGUUAAUAUAAUCUAAAAUUGGAAAAGGGGAAGGUGAUGUUCACACUGCAUAAGAUUGUGAGUGCAUCUCCAUCGUCAAUAAAGACACAAUUAUUUUGCUUCCUUUGUACUUAUGAUUGAAUAAAAAUAUUAAAGUUAGAAAAUAAUAAUUGACAUGUGGGAUUAUACUAGCAACAAUAUAUUGUAGCCUAUCAUUGGGAGACUUUGUACUUAAAAAGCAAUAUUGUUUAAAAAACUAAUGUAACAAGUCAAGUUACAAGCUUACAAGAUGUUAUAGCUCACUAUUGAAGUUGUCUCUCAUGCUUAUUUCGAAGGGACCUCCUUCUUCCUUGCAGUUGUAGCCUUGUAGGUCUGAUUACAGUGUGUUGUAUCCUUGUAGGUCUGCUUACAGUGUGCUAAUGUGCUCCCUUCACUCAGGUAGUCAAGGUCGAUAUAUUCAAUAGCUAAAAGCUAUGAGCAAGUACAAAAUGAAGGUGAGAAUCAAGGUUGGCCUAUUGGUCGUAAGGUCUUUCUUCCAUCCCUCUGACACGAGUUCGAUUCUCACCCCUUGCAAAAAUGAUACCCCAAUUUUUCCCCUUCCUUGCAAGGGAAUUCUCCUUACCUUUUAAAAAAAGGUACAAAAAUGAAGGAGUUAGUACUAACAAAAAAAAUCCCAUAAAAAAAUAAAUAGUAAUUAUUCUCUAAGAUGCAAUGGAAGAGAGAAUUUGCAUGUUUUAUUUGCUAGAGAGAACUUUCUUCCCCCAAUCCCCCAAAAUACAUGUUAAAAUAAAAUAAAUAUUCCAUCCGUUUACAAAUAAUUGUUACAUUUAUCUUUUUCAUGCAUGCCAAAGCAAAACAUUGAGGAUUAAUAUCUCUAAGUUUUGUAUUUGUAGAAAUUAUAAAUAGUACAUAUAUUCUUUGAUAGAAAAAAUACAUAUUAAGACAAUCUAACAAGAUAUUAUAUGAUUAUGUUUUUAUUCAUGUAUUAAUUACAAACGAUGGUUAAAAUGAAAUUUAUGAAUAGUAUAAAAAUGUCAAAGUGUAACAAUUAAAAAAAAUGAAGGUGGUAGAUUAUAGUAUUAAUAGUUUAUUUUUAAGAUAAUACUUCCAGUAGUGCGGUAGAGAGAAACAAAGGUUAAUUAUAAGGAUCCAUAAGAAUUAAGGUACUCACCAAAUUUUAAGAUCGGUAAUAUGUUGAAGGAGGUGACAAUCUCGGCCAUUGAAUCUGACGCUAUAUCUUACUUUCAGAUAUGGACACUCAACAAUAAUAAGUGUCUGUAAAGAGGUGAGGCCUUGUAAUGAUAGUGGAAGUACCCGCAAUUCUCGACAAUCAUGAAUCUCAAGGAAAUCAAGUUCCAGUUCUCUAGAACGGAGACAAUCUUGCGGAUGCUAUGGCAAGGGAGUGUAGGAAGCAUAAUAAUAAUUCACAACCUGCCUCUCCGAUACUGGAUCCUUGCCUGGACCAUCUUCACCUCUCUCCGAAUCCACAAUGUGCUUAAACUCCUUUAAUUUUUUGUCCGUUUGCCUUAUCUAUCAUGCUUUUAAAACGUGCGAAACAAUUUGGUUGCAACUAUUAAAUAACAGAGGGAGUAUCAUGAAAUUCAUGGUUGUAUAUACAGCAAAGAGUGUUAGGAUACAGACCUUGAGUUACUACUUACGAGCCAUCGACCAUCCCUCUCAUCCCAGCUGUCAUCUAGCACAAACAUACUUAAUGUUGAAGUUCUUCCUACUGGAGUUUGUUAUACUCCUUACAGGUGAAGGAGUUGAUCAAUUUUUUUAUUCCA